GGGUCAGUAGGUUGGUCGUGCCACCGGUACGGACUGGCCUCACUGAUUCCUCCUUCCUGAAGAACCGUAAUGCCAUUAAUUUGGUGUUGCGGGGAAACAGGACUGUUACUUUGAAAAAAUUAGAGUGUUUAAAGCAAGCUAACGCUUGAAUACAUUAGCAUGGAAUAAUGAAAUAGGACGAUCGAUCCUAUUUUGUUGGUUUCUAGGAUUGACGUA
rnacentral:rRNA from 1 species